GGGGAGUACGGCCGCAAGGUUAAAACUCAAAUGAAUUGACGGGGGCCCGCACAAGCGGUGGAGCAUGUGGUUUAAUUCGAUGCAACGCGAAGAACCUUACCUACUCUUGACAUCCAGAGAACUUUCCAGAGAUGGAUUGGUGCCUUCGGGAACUCUGAGACAGGUGCUGCAUGGCUGUCGUCAGCUCGUGUUGUGAAAUGUUGGGUUAAGUCCCGCAACGAGCGCAACCCUUAUCCUUUGUUGCCAGCGGUUCGGCCGGGAACUCAAAGGAGACUGCCAGUGAUAAACUGGAGGAAGGUGGGGAUGACGUCAAGUCAUCAUGGCCCUUACGAGUAGGGCUACACACGUGCUACAAUGGCGUAUACAAAGAGAAGCGACCUCGCGAGAGCAAGCGGACCUCAUAAAGUGCGUCGUAGUCCGGAUUGGAGUCUGCAACUCGACUCCAUGAAGUCGGAAUCGCUAGUAAUCGUAGAUCAGAAUGCUACGGUGAAUACGUUCCCGGGCCUUGUACACACCGCCCGUCACACCAUGGGAGUGGGUUGCAAAAGAAGUAGGUAGCUUAACCUUCGGGAGGGCGCUUACCACUUUGUGAUUCAUGACUGGGGUGAAGUCGUAACAAGGUAACCGUAGGGGAACCUGCGGUUG
rnacentral:rRNA from 1 species